AGAAAAGGUGGAAGCUGCAGGCAAAAUAAGUUACAAGAGUUGUGUGGUUAGUAUCCUAGAUGUAUUAUUUACUGGUAAAUAUAUUUGCUGUUUGGCAAGUAAAGCUUACGAGUUGCCAGCCUGGCUACUUCUUUCUCUGUAGAGGAUGUGUUUGAUAAUUGUCAAGUUUUCAAGCAUGCUUUAGAUCAUUGCUGGGGAAGUUUUUUCUUUCUGGAAGUAUGUGGGGAUGAUCUGGUAAAGCCAAGUUAGACAAAUGAUUCAGUCUCCAUGGCCCAAUUUACCUACCACACGUCCCUCAUGAAGCAGGUAAGGGGUGCUGCUCUGAUGGUGCAACCACUUGGUUUCCUUGACUUUCCUCCGUGUCUUCUUCUGGAUAGGUGCCAGGGAGCAUGAAAUGUUUGAUACCUGGAAGGCUGAUCUGGGCUGGAACAAUUUCCAAGAAUGACUGUGCCUGAUAUUCUCUCCCUGAUAACCAGACAUAUAGCAAGUGUAACAGGAAAUGAUGUUAAAUACCUCAGGCUUUCACAGAAUUGAGUCUUCAAAGUCAGUAUCAAUAUUUUUAUUGUUUUGUUCAGGACAGAUUACAUCCUCUCUUACGGUCACUUCACUUGAAUAAGUUUGAAAUGAUCAAG
rnacentral:lncRNA from 1 species